GUUGUGAUGUAAGGGAUGUAGUACUGUUGCAGAGGGUGUGUGUUGUGAUGUAAGGGAUGUAGUACUGUUGCAGAGGGUGUGUGUUGUGAUGUAAGGGAUGUAGUACUGUUGCAGAAGGUGUGUGUUGUGUUGUUGUGAUGUAAGGGAUGGAGUACUGUUGCAGAGGGUGUGUGUUGUGAUGUAAGGGAUGUAGUACUGUUGCAGAGGGUGUGUGUUGUGUUGUAAGGGAUGUAGUACUGUUGCAGAGGGUGUGUGUUGUGUUGUAAGGGAUGCAGUACUGUUGCAGAGGGUGUGUGUUGUGUUGUUGUGAUGUAAGGGAUGGAGUACUGUUGCAGAGGGUGUGUGUUGUGAUGUAAGGGAUGUAGUACUGUUGCAGAGGGUGUGUGUUGUGUUGUAAGGGAUGUAGUACUGUUGCAGAGGGUGUGUGUUGUGAUGUAAGGGAUGUAGUACUGUUGCAGAGGGUGUGUGUUGUGUUGUAAGGGAUGCAGUACUGUUGCAGAGGGUGUGUGUUGUGUUGUUGUGAUGUAAGGGAUGGAGUACUGUUGCAGAGGGUGUGUGUUGUGAUGUAAGGGAUGUAGUACUGUUGCAGAAGGUGUGUGUUGUGUUGUUGUGAUGUAAGGGAUGGAGUACUGUUGCAGAGGGUGUGUGUUGUGAUGUAAGGGAUGUAGUACUGUUGCAGAGGGUGUGUGUUGUGUUGUUGUGAUGUAAGGGAUGGAGUACUGUUGCAGAGGGUGUGUGUUGUGAUGUAAGGGAUGUAGUACUGUUGCAGAGGGUGUGUGUUGUGUUUUAAGGGAUGUAGUACUGUUGCAGAGGGUGUGUGUUGUGUUGUAAGGGAUGUAGUACUGUUGCAGAGGGUGUGUGUUGUGAUGUAAGGGAUGUAGUACUGUUGCAGAGGGUGUGUGUUGUGUUGUAAGGGAUGCAGUACUGUUGCAGAGGGUGUGUGUUGUGUUGUAAGGGAUGCAGUACUGUUGCAGAGGGUGUGUGUUGUGUUGUAAGGGAUGUAGUACUGUUGCAGAGGGUGUGUGUUAGGUUGUUGUGAUGUAAGGGAUGUAGUACUGUUGCAGAGGGUGUGUGUUGUGAUGUAAGGGAUGUAGUACUGUUGCAGAGGGUGUGUGUUGUGAUGUAAGGGAUGUAGUACUGUUGCAGAGGGUGUGUGUUGUGGUGUAAGGGAUGUAGUACUGUUGCAGAGGGUGUGUGUUGUGUUGUAAGGGAUGCAGUACUGUUGCAGAGGGUGUGUGUUGUGUUGUAAGGGAUGUAGUACUGUUGCAGAGGGUGUGUGUUAGGUUGUUGGGAUGUAAGGGAUGGAGUACUGUUGCAGAGGGUGUGUGUUGUGAUGUAAGGGAUGUAGUACUGUUGCAAAGGGUGUGUGUUGUGUUGUAAGGGAUGUAGUACUGUUGCAGAGGAUGUGUGUUGUGUUGUAGUGAUAUGAGGGAUGUAGUACUGUUGCAGAGGGUGUGUGUUGUGUUGUAAGGGAUGCAGUACUGUUGCAGAGGGUGUGUGUUGUGAUGUAAGGGAUGUAGUACUGUUGCAGAGGGUGUGUGUUGUGUUGUAAGGGAUGUAGUACUGUUGCAGAGGGUGUGUGUUGUGUUGUAAGGGAUGUAGUACUGUUGCAGAGGGUGUGUGUUGUGUUGUAAGGGAUGUAGUACUGUUGCAGAGGGUGUGUGUUGUGUUGUAGUGAUAUGAGGGAUGUAGUACUGUUGCAGAGGGUGUGUGUUGUGUUGUAAGGGAUGCAGUACUGUUGCAGAGGGUGUGUGUUGUGAUGUAAGGGAUGUAGUACUGUUGCAGAGGGUGUGUGUUGUGUUGUAAGGGAUGCAGUACUGUUGCAGAGGGUGUGUGUUGUGAUGUAAGGGAUGUAGUACUGUUGCAGAGGGUGUGUGUUGUGUUGUAAGGGAUGCAGUACUGUUGCAGAGGGUGUGUGUUGUGUUGUAAGGGAUGUAGUACUGUUGCAGAGGGUGUGUGUUGUGUUGUAAGGGAUGCAGUACUGUUGCAGAGGGUGUGUGUUGUGUUGUAAGGGAUGUAGUACUGUUGCAGAGGG